rnacentral:rRNA from 1 species
GACGAACGCUGGCGGCGUGCUUAACACAUGCAAAUCGAACGGAAAGGCCCUGCUUUUGUGGGGUGCUCGAGUGGCGAACGGGUGAGUAACACGUGAGUAACCUGCCCUUGACUUUGGGAUAACUUCAGGAAACUGGGGCCAAUACCGGAUAGGAGCUCCUGCUGCAUGGUGGGGGUUGGAAAGUUUCGGCGGUUGGGGAUGGACUCGCGGCUUAUCAGCUUGUUGGUGGGGUAGUGGCUUACCAAGGCUUUGACGGGUAGCCGGCCUGAGAGGGUGACCGGCCACAUUGGGACUGAGAUACGGCCCAGACUCCUACGGGAGGCAGCAGUGGGGAAUAUUGCACAAUGGGCGGAAGCCUGAUGCAGCAACGCCGCGUGCGGGAUGACGGCCUUCGGGUUGUAAACCGCUUUCGCCUGUGACGAAGCGUGAGUGACGGUAAUGGGUAAAGAAGCACCGGCUAACUACGUG